rnacentral:rRNA from 1 species
UACGGGGGGGGGGCAAGCGUUUGUUCGGAAUUACUGGGCGUAAAGGGCUCGUAGGUGGCCAACUAAGUCAGACGUGAAAUCCCUCGGCUUAACCGGGGAACUGCGUCUGAUACUGGAUGGCUUGAGAUUGGGAGAGGGAUGCGGAAUUCCAGGUGUAGCGGUGAAAUGCGUAGAUAUCUGGAGGAACACCGGUGGCGAAGGCGGCAUCCUGGACCGGCAUUGACGCUGAGGCGCGAAAGCCAGGGGAGCAAACGGG